GUUCUCGGAGACGGAAAUACAACACUCUUUUGGGAAGAUAGAUGGCUCGAAGGACACCGGAUCGUGGAGAUUGCACCCUUGACCUACGGCCGAGUCAGGAAGAAAAUGAGGAAAACAUGCACCGUAGCCCAGGCCCUACUGAAUGACGCU
rnacentral:rRNA from 1 species